GUUCCUAUAGUUAAAUUUGAUAACGGUGGUUUUUCAGGCCAUAGAUCUUGGAGAAAGUCCAAGUAGGAAUU
rnacentral:tRNA from 1 species